AUAAUGAUAGUGAAUUCUAUAUUAACAUUCCUUAACUGACUUUCACCAGCCUCCUCCCCCAUUAAAACAUACACACGCUCCUGGUGGUUUCAGCUGAGCUUGAAUGCCUAAAGGGUGGGGUUACAUACACACUGCCAUGUUUAAACAAGACUCACGGUCAGCUGGAUAGCCACCUCCUCCUUUUAUCUCCAACCUGGUGGUUCAGGUUGGUCUCACCUUAUUUCGGAAACACGGAAGAACAGAAGUCACAGCAGGAACAGCGUGCAGGUGUGAAAACUGAUUCCCACCAAACAAAUCACCCUCAGGCCUCUGCCGGGAUAUUGAAGAAAGAACUGAUAUUUGGAUCCAAUAAUGUUUCAAGAGUUUUAACAGACUGAAACAGAAACCGAGGCCCUUGAUUAUUCAUUUUUGCCCAUUUCCUCCAGCCUGACACCAUGAAUAUCUCACUUGAGAACCCCUAUGGUGAUGUCACCAUCCCUCGUGCCAAGUUGCGGGAUCAGGGAGACUCCAGCACCAUCAUCAUGAACCCAAUGACCUUAGAGAGCACCUACAACAACCGUAACUCCUUAAACCCCUACAACAGCUUCAAAAAUCCAGGGGAGAACAACACCUCAGGUGUUCCGGUUUACGGAGAGGCCAGAAACGGCAGCCAGAACCCCCCUCCUUACAACAACCAGCCAGGAUACACUGUAAAAGAAAGCGACGAGCAGGUGGGACGAUGCUACGCCUGUUGUUGCCGCUGCCGGAGAAGGAAGUGAGACCAGAUGAUGUACCCUGUGGGUUUACAGUUUGGAACCAUCAUUCAGCCUCCCAAAUUUUGAAAGCCAAAUGCCAUACAGUUCUAAAAUGACUGGAUUUUAGGACUGCUUUAGCUAUUACAUAACCUGGAGAUCAUACAAAACAAGAGCUGACCUUCUGUGACUACACUGAAACCUAUUAUAUUAAAUAUUUACUUUUGGAUUAUGUCAAACAGUGCUUUGUUCUGCUGGAUUGCUUUUAUUGGACCGCUUUGAAGUUGCCUUACCUUUGUGUGCCUCAUACAAUGGCAUACUUAGAUACUCCCCUUCAGCGUCACCCAGUUGUUCUUGUACACUUACUUACUUAUAUUUGAAUAAUAUCAUUGUUAAUGGAGUGUUUCUAUAAAUUAUAAUGACGCUGAACUGGUUUUAGUGGUGCACACAGAGGUGAGGCUCUCUUCACAAUAUGUCCCGGUGGGCUUCUCCAAGUUUCAUUUGGUUUUUGAGCCACACCCUGACAUGCCGUCAGACACAGGUCAGUGAAACUCGAGGAAGAACCCUCAUUCUUUUUCUAAAGAAUAUAUAAAAGGACACUGUCAGCUCUUCCUGUAGAAUAAGUGUUGUGGCAUUUCUAUUGAACAAGCUUUUCUGGUUGCUGUAGACAUACUGCUGACGCAUUGUCUAUUGGUAAAUCUGCCAAAGAGACUGUUGAAUGUAAGAUAAAACAUUUAUAGUACUGAUAUUAUUUUAUUAUAAGCAAUAUUAUGGUAGUUACAUUUAAUAUGAUGGGGCGUGGACAGUUUUUUUUUGGCCAUAAGACUGUGAGCCUGACUACUGUAAUGUAAAAUAUGCCAAACAAAACAUUUUGGAUUGUCUGUAUUAUAUGUUAGGCACGAUGAUCAAUAUAUUUUUUUGAUACAUAAAAUCACUUUUGUCUCCAUAAAGAACUGUCUUUUUACUUAAGAACUUCUCAAUGUUUCUAACAAGAUGACUCAGUCUGUGUGACGACAAAUUCUUUCAGCUGAGUAAAGGGAGUAUAUUAGCAGCUGAACCGGUUUGGGACGCAGUGCCCUUAGAGCGAGUUCCUGGAACAACAGAUUUACAGUCACAUGGAGUCUAGACCAGCCGGUUUACAGAUGUACAGAAACUUUGUUACCUGAAAUCUGCAGCACGACACCUACUGUGGAUAGGGUUAUUAAUACUGUCCACUAUUGAUAUACAACAUUAGAUUUCUUUAGCUUUAUUUUCAGUAUAGUGUCCGAGAGUUCAUGGAAAGUAAACCAAAAUUUUGCAAAGACAAAGUUUAGGAGAGACAUUUGAAACAUUUCAAUCACAAGGAAAUGAUGGAUUCAGAGGGAAACACUUACUGUAAUAGUUAAAAACAGUUAAUAUGCUAGUAAAUUGGUACUGGUAGACUUUAUUAUCUAUUUUCUUGAGACAUUGCUUAAUAUUUCGUGUAAGUAAUUUUAUGUUUGCUAUCAAGAUGUUCCCAUAAAUGAAACGAUACUACACAGUACGCACAUAAUGGAUUGAUCCCUUUGUAAAAUUUAUAGUAUACUUUUACAAGGUUAUUGUGUAAAAAUCAAAUUCAUACAGAAUCUCAUUCAAAUAGCUUUUGUUGCAUUUGUCUUUUUUUUUUUUUUUUUUUUGUUGUUGACAGUGGUGGCUGCUAUGAAGUUUACACACUGUAUUGUAAGAGUAAUAGGUUAACUGUAGUAAAUAUGGUAUUUUGACCAAAACUGUGGUUAUUGUGAUUUUUCGUAUAUGGCUGCUUGUCUCUUGUUAAUAAUGACAGGUUAAAAUAACGGUAAAUUUAAUGAUAGCAUGUGGAUAAUUUAUAAACAUGUAUAAUAAAAUAUCUUACUUCAUACACAGUUAAAGGGACAGUUCACCCAAAAAUGAAAAUUCUGUCAUCAUUUACUCACCCUCAAGUAGUUUCAAACCUGUAUAAAUUUCUUUGUUCUGUUAAACACAUAGGAAUGUAUUUUGAAGAAUGUGGGAAACCGAACAGUUUUGGGGCACCAUUGACUUCCAUAGUAUUUUUUUUUUCCUACUAUGGAAGUCAGUGGUGCCCCAAAGUGGCCUGGUUACAAACAUUCUUCAAAAUAUCUUCCUUUGUGUUCAGCAGAACAAAGAAAUUUAUACAGAUCUGGAACAACUUGAGGGUGAGUAAAUGAUGACAGAAUUUUCAUUUUUGGAUUAACUAUCCCUUUAAGGGAAAAUUCCAGCCUAACUAGGACAAAAUGUGAGAUAAAUGGAAAUAAAUAUUAAUUUGCUUCUCACAUUAAUGAAUUUUAGGGUCUUUCCUGGUAUUGUGUGCCUUUUGGACAUCAUAAAAUUUAGAAAAUCAACACGGUGAUGUAAAACAUUUGAAAAAAGAUUUUGGUCAAGCUCGGGUAAAUAAUGUAACCAUUUAUUAAACAAAAUCAAUGAAAUGGUAUAUCAAAAAUGUCCACCCUGUUAGGGACAAAUGAACAACAGUACUUAUGAUUCUAAUUUAUGGGCAUUGUGUACAUUUUCUUAGACAAGUCCCUUUAAAAGCAUAUCAGUUAAUAAAUUAUCAGAAAUAUAUAUUAUGUACCUAAUUUCUCACAAACGGAUCAUUUUAUAUUUUUCUUUUUCCAGAUACAAAGGCCUGAAAGGCAUUUUUGUUCAAUUUCUAAAGUAUAUUAUUGAUACUCCAAUACAUUUUCAUUGUCACUGAAUUAUUUUUAUUUUUUUGUGUGUGUGUGCUAUUUUUAUGAAAUUUAUGAAAAAACAACAACAACUGCUUAACAGGGUGGACAAUUUUAUAACAGAGUAGAUGGACUGAUAAAAAAUGGAUUGAUAGAUGAUUUCCUAUCUCAUACAACCAGUUGCAAUAUUUACAAUACUUUUUGUUUGAACUGGAUUUUGAUAGGAAACAAUAUGUAAAACAUCACCAAAGAACUUUAAGCAUAUAAAUUACUUUUACAAUCAUUAUGUACACUCUCAGUGUCCACUCUAUUAGGUCUUUUUACAGCUCUACACCUUUUAUCAAGUUGGACAUUAACAUAGUGGACAUUCUGAUCUAAAAUCAGCCACUUCACCAAGUCUGAGCAAAAAGAAGCUAAAAAGGUUUAUCAAAUAAAGAAUUGCAUGUUUUUUUUAAAUUGUAAUUUUAAUAAUAUGAUUUUUCUACUAACUUUUUUCAUAUUUCCCUUAACAGAGUGGACAUAUUGAGGUUGACCACAUCAAAUUUGAAAGAUAAAAUUGAUCAAAACAGACAGUUUCCCUCCAAAAGAAGUGAUGACUGCUUUAUGAUGUCAUUUAGCUAUUCCAACUUUCAUUUGAAGGGAAAGUAGUCAAAAAUAACUUGAGAGACACAUUAAAAACCUUUAUUAUAAUUGUUAAAAUAAAUGUAUAAUUGAAAAAAACUCUAUAAAUUAGAGAGAAACAUUAAUGAUAUACCCAACAAUGUAAAGAUUUUGGGGAAAAUCACACAAAGUAAGUAUAUUUAUCAUGAAAAUGGGAUAUGCAAGCUUAGAUACUUAGGCCUAUGUCUAAGACAGCUUUAAAAUUAAUAUUGUAGUGUGCAGAAAGUUCUUGAUCUGUUUACUGGGGACACAAAAGGCACCGAAUCCCAGGAAUGCCUCUUUAGUCACUGCAGACUUAUAUUAGCGCCAGUAGGGGGAGUGCGCUUAUUAAAAUACAACCGUCAAAAAACAAUACCCGCAAAAGGCAAGUUAAAGAACAGUUUCCUCUGCUGUCUUGAUUGUUAACCAUUGUAUUUUCAUUCGAACUCAUCACUGUAACAAAUUGUUACAUUGAUGGGUUCGAAAGAAAAUACCAUGGUAGCGAUUUAUUGCCAUAUUUAAGCAUCAUGUGACACUAAACUUGCUACUAAAUAUCCCUGUCUAAAUCUUUCUUAGCAAGCACACAUGAAAUGCGUAUAGAAAAAAAACGCACGUGAAUGGUUGCCAUGACACCACUGCGGCAUGUUGCACUCAAUCUAAAUAUUUUAAUUUUUAUUUCCAUACAUAUUAUACAUAUAACCUUAUUACCCUAUAUAACUUGACAGAUAACAUGUAAUAUGUACUUAAUUUUCACACAGUGGAUUAACUGCUAAAAGAUUAAAUCAUUAACAUUUUUAAAUGACCAGAUACCCUUAAGCAUUAAAGAUUAUAUAAUAUAAAAUAAAAUAAAUCGUGUUUUGUCAACUACUGUUUACUUGGUAGCUAAGGAUGUAAGUUGUGGUUGUAUUACCACAGCAGCGGAAUGGGCAACUGCUGGUAACAUGAAUAGUAACAUGAUAGUAACUAAAUGUUUGCUUACUCGGUUUAUUUUUUCUGAAGGUUAAAGUAACGGUCAAGGCUUAUUGAAACAGGCGUGCCUUCGGCCGCGUGAGUGUGCUGCUCUGACUGUGAUUGGAGGAUGGAGAAGAAACGAGAAGAUUCUAGAAGUGAACAGACGGGCGCGCUGUGUGUGGGGAGGGGGUCGCGCGGGCCGUUAUGCAGUGAGAAAUGCACUGUAGGGGUGUUCGACUCCGAUUCCUGACUCACAAUCGACUCCAUUUUCUCUAUUUACUUUAAGUUAAAACAGGGCCGGCAAUACCUUUAUUAAAACAACACACAUUUAGCGUGACUGGCGAAAUCAGUCCAAUUUAAAGAUGACAUUACCUUGAAUUGAUGAGUCACCAUCGUUUCCUAGUUGUUGCCAAUAAAAGUUACGAGAAAAAGCCUUGGUCGGACUCUUUUGGAGUUGACUCCCUAUUACUACUGCACUGGGGCAUUUUGUGUGCUUAUAAGUUGAAAGAUGUCCUGACUGGAAAUUGAGAAGGUAAUUGACAAAUAACAGACAUUUUGUCUGACCAAAAGCAAAACAUAUUAGAUUAAAAUCUGCAUGAAUCUUGCAAUUCAUUACAAUAGUCAUGUGGGUAACCGCUUAAUUUUUAAAAGUACAAAUAUUCCAUGCAGUCUUUCAAUUAAUAUUAAGUAUUAAAACAAUGUAUUUUUAAUGAAUAAUUAUAAAAAUGGCCUUUAAAUAGUUUUAAAUGAACUAAACGUUACACUGCUUGAACAGUGCUCCUGAUACAUCCCUUUCAAAGCACCUCUGACAUUUUAAUCCAUAUUCCACUGAGACUUUGUUCAUUAUUAAUCAGCAUUACGUAAUGAUGAAUGACUUUCCUCAAAUACCAUGGUCAGAUUUGUCCUUUUUAUAUUCCUCCAUGUAUAAAUAUACAACUGUCCUGAGAAGCUUAGUGUACUAAUCCACCAUAAACUGUAUAUAUUAACAUUUCACUUCUUGUUUUACCUCUAAUGGUUAUGGAAUAUACUGAAUACUUCACAUAAAUAAUUGAAGAAGGAAGAAAUAUGCCAGUAAAGCCAGCACUCACGAGUUCCUGGUCAAGAAGCAGCAACCCUUUUGAAAAAGCAUUGUGGUCGAAACAUGACACAAUGAUGGUAUCAAAUGAAAUGGCAAUAUCACAAUAACAAACUUUUUAAAUAAUCUUCAAAAUUUAUUAAUGACAUGUUUCUUGCACUUGGAACUAGUUUGUAAUUAAUGUCUAUGUUACAUGAAUUGAAUUAAUAAGACUUUUCUUCAAAAGAAUUUCCACAAGAAUGUGGCUCGGUGCACAGAAAAGCCCAGUGUUUGGUUUUCAACACAUUCAAAGCAAAAUUUCCAGAGUCCUCUCCCUUAUCUUCAUACAGAUGUGGUCUAGAUUAAGAGAGACUGGAGGGUCUUUAUCCUUAGCUCAGGGUGUAGAGUCUGUUGAACUUGCUAGGUGCUGGUUAGUCAAAAAAAAAAAAAAAAAGAGAGAGAAAA